rnacentral:rRNA from 1 species
AACGAACGCUGGCGGCAGGCCUAACACAUGCAAGUCGAGCGCUCACUUCGGUGGGAGCGGCGGACGGGUUAGUAACGCGUGGGAACGUGCCCUUCUCUACGGAAUAGCCAUUGGAAACGAUGAGUAAUACCGUAUACGCCUCGGGAAGAUUAUCGAGAGAUCGCCGCGUAGAUAGAUAGUGUGGGUAACGGCCUACCAAGUCUACGAUCUAUAGCUGGUUUAGUAGGAUGAUCAGCAACACUGGGACUGAGACACGGCCCAGACUCCUACGGGAGGCAGCAGUGGGGAAUCUUAGACAAUGGCGCAAGCCUGAUCUAGCCAUGCCGCGUGAGUG